rnacentral:miRNA from 1 species
CUCCAGAUGUUGCUGAACUACAACUCCCAUGAUUCUCUGAAUUACAUAGCCAGAGAAUCAUGGGAGUUGUAGUUCAGCAACAUCUGGGG